rnacentral:rRNA from 1 species
UUUAACGGCCGCGGUACCCUAACCGCGCGAAGGUAGCAUAAUCACUUGUUCUUUAAAUGAGGACUCGUAUCAAUGGCACCACGAGGACUUUACUGUCUCCUUUUUCUAAUCAGUGAAACUAAUCUUCCCGUGAAGAAGCGGGAAUAAAUAGAUAAGACGAGAAGACCCCAUGGAGCUUUAAGCUUGCUGCACCUCUAUUUUCUAUAACCUCUUAUUAAACGGAAUACUGCUUACUUAGCUUUAGGUUGGGGUGACCGCGGAGUAUAACAUAACCUCCAUGAUGAACAAAACUAUUUUCUUAUCUAAGAACAACAGUUCUAAGAAUUAGUAUUCUAACAUAAAAUGAUCCGAUAAUCGAUCAACGGACUAAGUUACCCUGGGGAUAACAGCGCAAUCCAUUUCAAGAGCCCCUAUCGACAAAUGGGUUUACGACCUCGAUGUUGGAUCAGGAUAUCCUAGUGGUGCAGCAGCUACUGAAGGUUCGUUUGUUCAACGAUUAAAAUCCU